ACCAACAGGGAUUGCCCUAGUAACGGCGAGUGAAGCGGCAACAGCUCAAAUUUGAAAUCUGGCUUCGGCCCGAGUUGUAAUUUGCAGAGGAAGCUUUAGGCGCGGCACCUCCUGAGUCCCCUGGAACGGGGCGCCACAGAGGGUGAGAGCCCCGUAUAGUUGGAUGCCUAGCCUGUGUAAAGCUCCUUCGACGAGUCGAGUAGUUUGGGAAUGCUGCUCAAAAUGGGAGGUAAAUUUCUUCUAAAGCUAAAUACCGGCCAGAGACCGAUAGCGCACAAGUAGAGUGAUCGAAAGAUGAAAAGCACUUUGAAAAGAGGGUUAAAUAGCACGUGAAAUUGUUGAAAGGGAAGCGCUUGUGACCAGACUUGCGCCGGGCUGAUCAUCCGGUGUUCUCACCGGUGCACUCUGCCCGGCUCAGGCCAGCAUCGGUUCUCGCGGGGGGAUAAAGGCCCUGGGAACGUAGCUCCUCCGGGAGUGUUAUAGCCCGGGGCGCAAUGCCCUCGCGGGGACCGAGGUUCGCGCUCUGCAAGGAUGCUGGCGUAAUGGUCAUCAGCGACCCGUCUUGAAACACGGACCAAGGAGUCAAGGUUUUGCGCGAGUGUUUGGGUGUAAAACCCGCACGCGUAAUGAAAGUGAACGUAGGUGAGAGCUUCGGCGCAUCAUCGACCGAUCCUGAUGUUCUCGGAUGGAUUUGAGUAGGAGCGUUAAGCCUUGGACCCGAAAGAUGGUGAACUAUGCUUGGAUAGGGUGAAGCCAGAGGAAACUCUGGUGGAGGCUCGCAGCGGUUCUGACGUGCAAAUCGAUCGUCAAAUCUGAGCAUGGGGGCGAAAGACUAAUCG
rnacentral:rRNA from 1 species